GCCUGCAACUCUAAACUCUGUAGUAUUUCUUGUGAAAGUAUACUACUAGUAUUCUUAGUAUUCGAAGGUAUUUGCAUAGCAAGCCUUGCGUCAUGGUAACGCAGAUGCGAAAAAAAGUUGUUUGUUUGGUGAGGUUUGGUCUGUGAUACAGUACCUUGACAGCUUCACACAAAUUUCGGUAUUAGUAAAAGUUUUUCUCAAGAAAUACUGGCUGGAAGACCUGGCCUCGUUGACUUCCAGCAGGCGAACAACAACGCCAAAUUCGAAGCGAGCAAAGGACCCGAACCUCCGGACCGGAUAACUUCACGCAGGGGAUACUGCUGAUCGCCCAGCCCCGGUACAAGGUGGCAGCGUGUUUCCUGUCCUUGUGAUUCAUAAGUGGAAUAUACGUGCUAUUUAAAACGCCA